UACUUACAAGGAGGCUAUAAAGUACUAAUGGUGUAGAGAUGAAAUUUUGUGAUACCAUUUCUCGAAAGGGAAGUUAUGGCACUGAUAAAGGCGAAAGCAUCCUCUUAUGUGAUAACUGACGUUGAGGGACGAAGGCUUUGGAUCGCGAAUAGGAUUAGAUACCCUAGUAGUCAAAGCAGAAAAUGAUGAGUGUCAUAGAUUAGAAAAGUAAUUUUAUUCUAUAAAUGAAAGUGUAAGCACUCCACCUCAAGAGUAAUUUGGCAACAUUGGAACUGAAAUCAUUAGACCGUUUCUGAAACCAGUAGUGAAGUAUGUUGUUUAAUUUGAUAAUCCGCAAAACACCUUACCACAACUUGAAUAGAGAUAUCAUAUAUAUCUUUACAAGCGUUGCACGGCUGUCUACAGUUAAUGUCGUGAGACUUUGGUUAGAUCCAUUAAAUUAACGCAAGCCCUUACUUUAUUUUUAAAUAGAGUUGUUCCCCGCUAUAUUGGAUAUGAUAACAGGGACUAAGACAAGUCAUCAUGGCCUUAAUGUUGU
rnacentral:rRNA from 1 species